UACGUAGGGUGCGAGCGUUGUCCGGAAUUACUGGGCGUAAAGAGCUCGUAGGUGGUUUGUCGCGUUGUUCGUGAAAACUCACAGCUCAACUGUGGGCGUGCGGGCGAUACGGGCAGACUGGAGUACUGCAGGGGAGACUGGAAUUCCUGGUGUAGCGGUGGAAUGCGCAGAUAUCAGGAGGAACACCGGUGGCGAAGGCGGGUCUCUGGGCAGUAACUGACGCUGAGGAGCGAAAGCCAGGGGAGCAAACGGG
rnacentral:rRNA from 1 species